AUUGAACGCUGGCGGCAGGCUUUACACAUGCAAGUCGAACGAGUGGCGGACGGGUGAGUAAUGUAUCGGAACCUGCCCCAUGGCGGGGGAUAACUACUGGAAACGGUAGCUAAUACCGCAUACCAUCAGAUCUGCCCAGAUGGGAUUAGCUAGUUGGUGGGGUAACGGCUCACCAAGGCGACGAUCCGUAGCUGGUUUGAGAGGAUGACCAGCCACACUGGGACUGAGACACGGCCCAGACUCCUACGGGAGGCAGCAGUGGGGAAUAUUGGACAAUGGGGGAAAACCUGAUGCAGCCAUGCCGCGUGUAUGAAGAAGGCCUUCGGGUUGUAAAGUACUUUUGGCAGAGAAGCGUUACCCACAGAAGAAGCACCGGCUAACUCCGUGCCAGCAGCCGCGGUAAUUC
rnacentral:rRNA from 1 species